GACGUAGGGGGCCAGCGUUGUUCGGAUUCAUUGGGCGUAAAGGGGUGCGUAGGCGGCGCGGUAAGUCGGGUGUGAAAUCUCGGAGCUUAACUUCCCGAAACUGCAUUCGAUACUGCCGUGCUUGAGGACUGGAGAGGAGACUGGAAUUUACGGUGUAAGCGGUGAAAUGCGUAGAUAUCGUAAGGAAGACCAGUGGCGAAGGCGGGUCUCUGGACAGUUUCCUGACGCUGAGGCACGAAGCGUGGAGCAAACAGG
rnacentral:rRNA from 1 species